rnacentral:tRNA from 1 species
UGGGGUGUGGGCUCAGUGGUAGAGUGCCUGCAUAGCACGUGCGAGAUCCUGGGUUUGAUUCUCAGCACCACAU